rnacentral:rRNA from 1 species
UACGUAGGUGGCAAGCGUUGUCCGGAAUUAUUGGGCGUAAAGGGCGCGCAGGCGGCCUGUCAAGUCUGUCUUAAAAGUGCGGGGCUCAACCCCGUGAUGGGACGGAAACUGGCAGGCUGGAGUGUCGGAGAGGAAAGCAGAAUUCCUAGUGUAGCGGUGAAAUGCGUAGAUAUUAGGAGGAAUACCAGUGGCGAAAGCGGCUUUCUGGACGACAACUGACGCUGAGGCGCGAAAGCCAGGGGAGCAAACGGG